rfam:Lentisphaerae bacterium GWF2_50_93 gwf2_scaffold_68, whole genome shotgun sequence.
GUUCUGGUAGCUCAGCUGGAUAGAGCAACGGAUUUCUAAUCCGUAGGUCGCAGGUUCGAAUCCUGCCCGGAACG